GACCUCCAGAGCUGUGAGGGCGUCAGUGUCGGUUGCUUAAGCUCCCGUUUUCGCUGCUUUAUUCCCGGCCUAAGCCGACUCUCACAGAGUCUAAUCCCACACCCAACUACGCCCAGACAACAGGGUCCGUGGUACCAAAGCUAGGCAUGAAGGGAGAAGGGUCAGCUGGGCCCUUCAGAGAGGCUGGGGCAGGAGCUGUCCUCACCCAGGAGCCCAUGUGGAGAACAGGGAGGCCAGAGCACAGGGCGCAAGAUGCAUUCUCCCCCCGACCCCGCAUCACUCCACCCUUCCGGCCACAUGCCAGGCCCCCGCCCUGCCCAGCCCCCAGGACAGUGUAGCUGCUGAGAGCUCUGCCUCUCUGGAAGCGGGCAUCAAGGCAGGGCACCAGCGAACGUGGCCCCGGUCACCGUCAGUCCCCUGCGCAAGGUACGACCCCUCACAGGGCUAUGGUGACCGUGGCCUCCAGAUCACUCAGGGUCAGAUCAGAAGAGGCUGACUUCAAUUUCAGCAGGAAUUUAGGUCAGAUAACCAGGGCUGUUAAGCCUCAGCCUGCUUUGUCUGAGGCGUUGUGACGAGAAACACCGGUGUUCGGUGAAUCUGCCAGGCAGGCAGUGCUCCCCCACCUACCCUGUCCAUCCCCAUUGGGGCCCUCCAGCCUCCGUGCCUGAGUGACAGCUUCAGAGCAAGGGAGGCUCCUUCCCGAGUGGGUGGUAUCAGUGGAAGGUAGACAAGGAGUUCAGCCCUGAGGUGCAAGGACACCGCGCUUGGGGAACAGAGACAUCAGGACCCACGGGCCGCUCGGAAGACAAGGAGGAAGAGGGCUGCUCUGGCCUUUGGGACCUUGCAGAGCCAGGUCUAACCCCAGAUCCACUGGCAUUUGCUUUCUAGAUGGCCUUUGGAAGACACCUGGCCUAGCAUCUCAUCUGCAAAUGGAGCAAAAGUACAUGCCCACCAGCGGCAACUGAGCCAGCUUGCUCCGAGAGGCCAGAAUGCAAUCAGUGCCUGGAGAGCCUGGCUUCCUGCUUCCUCCUCAGGAAGAUAAGUGCAAUAGUGACCCUGAAAUCAACCUUCCGUGCUAAGAAGGGCUGUGUCAUGUCCACUGCAGCCACUGUCCACGGUCCACUGUCCGUGGGAACUGCUAGCCAGACGGACUCCUCGCCAUUGGUGGGCUCUGGGCGUAGGCAGGCAGGCAGUGAAGGCCUGGCCUAGAGGUAGCCCCCAAAUGGUCUGGAUGGGGGACAUUCAACCUGGGCCAGGUCAGGGCUUCCAAGGGGGCCCAGCAGUAGCUGGCCAGUGUUGAGGCAAGCAGGUGACAGCAUGAUGGGCAGGACAGUGUGGGUCACAACAACAUAAGGCCACAGACACGGGAUUGGGGGUGGGGACCAGGCAGCUGGGAAGGUCCUGGCCUCGGAAAGGCAGGGCUGACUCCAGGCCCAGAAACUCCUGACCCUGGGACAAAAAAUGGCAAGAGCCAUCCCCGGGGCAGUGAACCACUGAACAUUUGACCAGAACCAGAACUCAGGAGAGGCAAAGCUGAGUGGCAGCAACUAAUCCAGGGCCCACGUCAGCCUGGGGUCAGAGGCCAAGUUCAAGCAAUACAAUCAGGGCUCGGCCUAGGAGGAUGCUAGGCCACAAAUCAGCAUCAAGACAAAAGGAGAGAGCAAAUAUUGACCCAAUCAGUGCCAGCUCAAACACUCAUGCCUCCCUGCUGCCUUCCAGUCCUCGGCUCACCGCCAUCCCACUCCCCGACACCCAAAACAGAGCUUCACUGUCACCUCUCUCGGGUCAUCGGUCCCUUUCCUCUGUGUGACAAUGUGAGUGAGGGUCUCCCCUGCCCUGAUAGGUGAUGGGCAGCACAAAGGGAGGAGUCAGGGCUGGGUGCAGUGCCUCAUGCCUGUAAUCCCAGCACUUUAGGAGGCUGAGGCAGGAGGAUCACUUCACACCAAGACCUAGAGACCAGCCUGGGCAACAUAGUGAGACCCCUGUCUCUACAAAACAGUGCAAAAGAAAAAAUGUGCCAGGCGUGGUGGUGUGUGCCGGGAGACCCAGCUGCUCAGGAGGCUGAGGCAGUAGGAUCGCUUGAGCCCAGGAGAUCUAGCCUACUGAGCCACGUUCAGGCCACUGCACUCCAGCCUGGGCAGCAGAACAAGACCCUGUCUCAACAACAAAAACAAAACAAAGCAAACUCAAAAGGAAGAAUCAGGACCCAAGACUACUUCCCCCGGGGCCAGCCCAGGACUGGCAUACAGUAGGUACUCAAUACGUGCUUGUUAAAUGGCCUGGGGUCAGCCCGCAUGCACACUGGGGAAGGCCAGGAAGAAGCAGGCAGAAGAGGGCUCCCCACAGCCACUUGUGGUUCCCACUUCCCGGGUGUGCAUCUUCUUUUAAGGACCUCUCCACGGUCUCGCAGAACCACAGCUGCGUUUCCCAGAACAGCAGUGAUCAGCGGGAAAACACUGCAUUCUGACAUUCAAGCCUCAGACGGGUCACAUGUUCUUCCCACGGAGAUCACAAGCCAGGGAAGUCACUUUUUCAGCAGCUCUUUUCAUCUACCUCCUGCCGAGAGAAUCCGGGAGUGACAGGAAGUCACUCCCAGCUGAGAAACUGGUGCCCUGUGAUCCCUUUGGUCUUGGGAAUAUAUUUAAAUGCCAUGUGACGAUAUAGUUAAAAUUCUUAGAAGGGUGGUGGCUCCCUCUAAAGUUGGCCAUUUGACAAACCGCUAACCUAGAAGAAGACUCUCACUAUUGCUCCGUAAAGAUGAAGGGGGCUCAGGAGCUGACGGCCCCCCCACUUCAUCCUCCCGGCUUCUCCACCUCUCCAGGCACGCAGAAUGCUCGGGCGUUCCGAGAACCAUGACGCAGGGCGGGCACUGCACGGGGGCUCUUUCCCAGCAGCUCUCUCCUCUCCCUAGGUCUGAUGGUCUCCUACCCACACCUUCACAGAUGAUGAGCAAAUGGGUCUUUCCUUAGGUUCCUGCAAAUAUGGACUUAUCACACAUCCACACUGAUGCCAGAAAUGUCAUGGCUACAUGUUGACUUACAGUAAUGAAUGGAGACCCCAGCACCCAGCAUGGCCACAGCACGAUGCUAAGGAGAAGCAAAGAGCAAGCCAGCUCUGGAUGUCUCCUGGAGUCAAGCGAAGCUUGGGUCCUGGCUGCUCAAAGUGCACCCCCAGACCAGCGACAUCAGUGUCACCUGGGAGCUUGCAAGACUCCUAUGCCUGCCCCGACUCACUGGAUCAGGAUCUGCAGCUCUACAGAUCUACAGGGACACAGAAAGGACAAGCGUGGUGGAUGCUGCUCCUCGCCCUGCAACGAUGCUGCCGCUGGGGAAGCGGGUGUUUCUUCCUGAGCGAGCCAUCUUGUCCCGGGCAGAGGUGUGAAUAACCCCUCUGACUCUCUGCACCGAGAUUUAGGGGAAGGAUCAGUGGACAGCUCAGGAAGUGCCGCUCUCAAACCUGCUGGGCAGCCGGCUCCGUGUGGCUUAAGAAGAGGUGCACAUGGAGGUUGCAGUUGUGUGAAACCCAGCUGAAGAUAUGAACAGCGACGCCGAAUCCAUGCAGUGAUAGAAGUUGGGGUCCAGCUUCUGUAGGAUUACCUCCAAUGCCAGAGACCACCAGCUCCCAAAGAAGCCCAUUCUGGUGGCUCAAAGCCGCAGCCAACAGGACGCAGGCAUGGGGCUGCAGGGAGGUGCCUAAGCCUGGAAUGGGGAGCCCAGAAGACACCGAACUGAGGCAGGGACUGGACCGGAACUCACAGACGGAGCUGCUGCAGCCAGGCCUACAUGGCCACCUUUCUGUGCACCCACAAUUGUCCAGAGAAGAGCCAUUGUCACCAAUCCCAGCCAAAGCCCAGCCAUGAGGCAUCAUCCUUUACUAGCUGGUGGGCCGCACUUAGCUUCUCUGAGCCCCAGCUUCCUCCUGGGUGCAAUGAGGCUCAAGAGAACCUCGCUCACAAGCUACUGGCAGGAUCAAAGGGAAGCAUACAUGUGAAACGCUUGAAAUCUGUGGUCCUCGGAGUCCUGCUGCCUCCCCCAAGCAUCUCACCUGGGCCCCAUAGUGGGAUGGGCUUCUGCCACAUCCUCAGGCAAUGCAGAUGAGAAGCGAGGAGCCAGCAGAGACUGACCUGCCAUCCACCAGAGCCGGCCCGACAAGUGUGGACCAGCUAGUAACUGUCACAGCCUCCCUGCUCUUCUGGCCAUCGCUCUUGCCCAAACUGCUACCUUCCUUCACUCCAGAGAGAAGGGAGUGACCACUCGCUGGUGUCCACUGCUGGCUUCAGUCCACACGGAUUCACGCCCCAGCCCAGGGCCCGGCAUUGCAGCGCUCCAUGAGCAGUUCCCAGGCAGAUAAGUGAAUGAGCAGUUGGACGGCCUUUCAAAUGUACCCGGAAUGUGGCGUCCUUCCCUACAGUUAGGAAACGCACACACACGUCUGCACACAUACACACGCGGUCCUUGCCCUGCUGCUCAAGUGUCCACUCUCAGCCUAAACAUCACACCCAUGGAUGGCCUCACUGGCCAUGAAGCCACAUGGGCCCCACCGCACCGCCCUGGACUUCCUCAGCACAGCCCUCAUCACAAUGGAGUCAGAUGCCUGUAUAGUUCUGUAUUUGGUAGUCAUCUGUCUCCAUGACACUGUAAACUCCUGGAGGGCCGGAAUAACCACAGAAUCCCCAGCAAGGACCCAACCACGCAUCUAGUGAUGAUGCAAGAAUGAGUCAGCAGGAAUUUGAGGAGGUGGCUGCAGUCGGUCCUCUGAGCUCGGAGGGCUCCCUCUGGAAUUGUGAGGGUCUGGGUUUCAAAGAAGUGGAGAGCUCAAAGCUACCAUCAAGUGGGAAACAGGGACUUGGAAGCAAAAGGGACCGAAGCCUGCUGGGGGUGGCAGAAGGGGCUUGAGGCCACCCGACACAGGGAGCUUGGCCCCUGCUCUGUCGCCCACGGCCAGGGAGGGAGUCUUUGUCAAGACAUCAGCUCAGAACAUAGACGGCAAAGUACGUGAGGCAGAGAGCCUCCGUGAGGAAGCACUGCCUCCUCUUCCAGCGGCUGAACAGGCUCCGUGCAAACUGAGCCCCACGGAGGGAGGGGUCCUCUCAGCUCCAGAGCCCCAGGAAACAGUGGGGCAGGCUGAAACCCAGCAGUGAGGCCCCAGGGCUGCCGGGGAGGUUCCAAGGGCCAGGCCAAUCUCCAGGGCCUGAAGUCAUGAGGUCCUGUGAGGCACCCAGAGACAACUUGUAGAGAUAAGCAGGGCCACCUGACCGGGGUGGGGUGGGGGACACCACGUUCACCCUCCUCCCCAGCAGACUCUGAAAUGGUGGCAGUAAGAAAGCGUGGGCAUCCAGCAUUUCAGGAUGGGGAGGGGCAGGCAUGCUCAUGACAGGUGAGGAGAGGCUGGAGCUCCCUCAGAACUAUUGACCAGGCCUCCCCAGCAGCGGCCCUGCAGCCAGCCCAGGGCAGCCAGCCCAAGCUCCAACCUGGCCAGGGUUGGGCAAGAUGACCCCUCCACAAGAAUUGAGAAACUCCCUGGAUAAGCUUCUACCAGAGAGUCAGGGAAGAACCAUGGAAAACAGACCUGGGCCUGUUGAUACUGGGGGAAGGCCAGUGUCCUCCAAAACUAGUGACUUUUGGGAUCUCUUACAGCUCCCUUUCUUGUGAAACCUUGCCUGUUUCCCUGCUGUUGCCAAGAGUAAAACCCACGUGUCUGUUUCCCGUCAGUGCUGCUGAACACAAUGCUGAAGCACACAAGCUCAGGGGCUUAGAGCUACACAUGCUUAUCACCUGCUACAGACUGCGCGUGUGUGCCACCCAAAUUCAGUGUUGAAAUCUUAACCCCCAAGGUGUGGUAUGAGGAGGUGGAGCCUUUGGGAGAUGAUUAGGUCAUGGGGAUGGGGCUGUCGUGAGUGGGAUUAAAGCCCUUAUGAAAGGGACUCUAGAAAGAGAACUUUCACCCCUUCCACCAGGUGAGGACACAGGGAGAAGAUGCCAGCUGUAAACCAGGAAGCGGCGCUCCCAGGCACUACAUCUGCCUUGAUCUUGGGCUUCCCAGCCUCCAGAACUGUGAGAAAGAAACAUCUGUGGUUUAUAAACUGCCCGGUCUAUGGUGUUUUGUUUCAGCAGCCCAGGCAGAGUAACACGUUACCCUACAGUUUCCAAUGACACAAGUCUGAGAUCAAGGUGUCAGCAGCUCCAUGUUCCUUUUGUUUCAGGAGAGAAUCCAUUUCCUGCCUUUUCAGCUCCUAGAUGCUGCCUGCACCCCCUGGCUGGUGGCCCCUCCUCCAUUUCCUGCCUUUUCAGCUCCUAGAUGCUGCCUGCACUCCCUGGCUGGUGGCCCCUCCUCCAUUUCCUGCCUUUUCAGCUCCUAGAUGCUGCCUGCACCCCCUGGCUGGUGGCCCCUCCUCCAUUUCCUGCCUUUUCAGCUCCUAGAUGCUGCCUGAACCCCCUGGCUCGUGGCUCCUCCUCCAUUUCCUGCGUUUUCAGCUCCUAGAUGCUGCCUGCAUCCCUUGGCUCCUGGCCCCUCCUCUGUCUUCAAGGCCAGAGGGCAGCCUCUUUAAACCUCCCUCCAGUCCUGUUCUCCGCUUCUUGCAUUGACCCUCCUGCCCUCCCUCUUUCCCUGCAUGGACCCUUACGAUGACACAUGGGGCCCGCCUGGAUAUCCAGGAAAAUCUCUCCAGCUCAAGACUCUUCAUUUAGUCACAUCUCCCGAGUGCCUUUGCCUUGUAGGGUCACAUAUCUGGGGGUGAUGCACACAUCUGGAAGGGCCAUUAUUCAGUCUACCACAGAAUGAAAAGUGGUUCCGUACUUGUUCUCAAAGUGACAGAGUGCAGAAGGCAGUGAGGGGCUUGAAUGCAGCUCCAGGAUUGUGGGGCUGAGGGCACAGGGGCCGGGGACCCAAGGAAGGGAGAGCCAUAGGCCAGUGGGAAGGAAAAGAACAGCAAGCCGGGAGCUGGGCAGAAUUGAGAAUGGCCCCAUCAUUCAGCCGGCAGGCAGCCGGGGUUCACCAGCUUGGGUAUAGGCAGGAUUGGGAAAACGUGCUCUGGAAGGCCGUCUCUACCUGCAGGGUCAUCGUCAUCGCCAUCCUUCUAAUGCCAUGGCGAAGGGAAUGACUCUGACAAGAACUCUAGAAUCCUAAGUGCAUCUGACAGGCCUUCAGGCUUGUUUCCAUUCUCUGAGACCCAGAGAGUACAUGGCUCCAAAUGGAAUGACCAAGAUUCAUGCAAAGAAUGAAAGUGAUGGACGGAGUUUAACAGCAGCUCAGGAAGGCACGCUCCCGGCCACCCUCGAUGCGGACGGCUGGAGUCUGUUUAUGUUCCUGCCAUGCGCUUGCUCAGUUGUGUAAUGGUCACUGCCGGCGCAGCUCAGACCUUUGAUCAGCUCCCGGGGACUCAGGCCUCUUUCUUCUCCUUUCUGCUGGGAAGAGCCGUUGCAACAGGGCAUUUGCGACUGACUCUUCUGGAGAUCAAGUGACAACUGGUGGGAGGGGCCGUGGCAGCACGUCUUCUGGGCGCCCUGCUUCACGUACCAUCUGAGGACACGCACAGCCUUGAGAGUGGGGGAAGCUGGGCCCAGGUCCUGCCCCUGAGUGUGCUGUGCUGCGCAUCAGUUCAAAUCCUGGGGUAGGGUGUCCGGCAGCCCUGCUGGGAUGAGAGCAGCCGCCUGGAGCCUCCGCAGCCCCAUGACUAUGUGAUACGGUUUGGCUCUGUGUCCCCACCCAAAUCUCAUCUUGUAGCCCCCAUAAUUCACACAUGUUGUGGGAGCAACCCAGUGGGAGAUGAUUGAAUCACGGGGUGGGUCUUUCUUGUGCUGUUCUCCUGACAGUGAAUGAGUCUCACGAGAUCCGAUUGUUUUAUUUUAUUUUAUUUAUUUUGAGACAGAGUCUCACUCUGUCGCCCAGGCUGGAGUGAAGUGGUGCGAUCUCAGCUCCCUGUAACUUCCGCCUCCCGGGUUCAAGCAAUUCUUGUGCCUCAGCCUCUCCAGUAAUUGGGACUACAGGUGUGUGUCACCAUGCCCAGAUAAUUUUUUGUAUCUUUAGUAGAGGUGGGGUUUUGCCAUGUUGUCCAAGCUGUUCUUGAACUCCUGAGCUCAGGCAUUCCACCCACCUCAGCCUCCCAAAGUGCUAGAAUUACAGGCAUGAGCCACCACACCCAGCCUGCAGAUUUUAAAAACGGGAGUUUCUCUGCAGAAGCUCUCUUUGCCUGCCACCAGUCAUGUAAGAUGCGACUUGCUCCUCCUUGCCUUCCUCCAUGAUUGUGAGGACUCCUCAACCAUGUGGAACUGUCAAUCUAAUGAAAUCUCUUUCUUUUGUAAAUUGCUCGG